rnacentral:rRNA from 1 species
AUUGAACGCUGGCGGCAUGCCUUACACAUGCAAGUCGAACGGUAACAGGUCUUCGGAUGCUGACGAGUGGCGAACGGGUGAGUAAUACAUCGGAACGUGCCCGAUCGUGGGGGAUAACGCAGCGAAAGCUGUGCUAAUACCGCAUACGAUCUACGGCUGAAAGCGGGGGAUCGCAAGACCUCGCGCGGGCGGGGCGGCCGAUGGCAGAUUAGGUAGUUGGUGGGAUAAAAGCUUACCAAGCCGACGAUCUGUAGCUGGUCUGAGAGGACGAGCAGCCACACUGGGACUGAGGCACGGCCCAGACUCCUACGGGAAGCAGCAGUGGGGAAUUUUGGACAAUGGGCGCAAGCCUGAUCCAGCCAUGCCGCGUGCAGGAUGAAGGCCUUCGGGUUGUAAACUGCUUUUGUACGGAACGAAAAAGCUCUCUCUAAUACAGGGGGUGAAUGACGGUACCGUAAGAAUAAGCACCGGCUAACUACGUG